UAAACUGGAGAGUUUGAUCCUGGCUCAGAACGAACGCUGGCGGCGUGCUUAACACAUGCAAGUCGAACGAGAAAGUUUCCUUCGGGAAGCGAGUAAAGUGGCGCACGGGUGAGUAACGCGUAGAUAACCUGCCCUGAUGUCUGGGAUAACCCUUCGAAAGGGGGACUAAUACCGGAUACGCUGAUUGCUUAUAAGAGUAAUCAGGAAAGAUGGCCUCUGAUUUAAGCUAUCGCAUUUGGAGGGGUCUGCGUACCAUUAGCUUGUUGGUGGGGUAACGGCCUACCAAGGCAACGAUGGUUAACGGGUCUGAGAGGAUGAUCCGUCACACUGGCACUGAAACACGGGCCAGACUCCUACGGGAGGCAGCAGUGAGGAAUAUUGCGCA
rnacentral:rRNA from 1 species